AUGUCAGUCUCAGGGGCAGAAUGCAAAUUCUCUACCCUGGAGAGGGACGCACAACCCGGGCGAGAGCCACGCCCUCUUUCCGUCUCGGUCCUCCCGGACUCCCUUCCCGCCCCCAAAGAGCAGCUGGUCCUGUUGAUAACAACCCUUCCCCCAUCUUAGCCCCAGCCAGGAGUUGGGCCAGGCACUAAGAUGGAGAAUUUAUAGAGGAGCCCUAAGGUGGGGUCCAUUGUUCCGGGGGCUGGAGCUGUCCCCGGUGCUGGAAAGAAGACCCAGGAGAUGGGAGCUGGGGGCGGGGAGGAGAGGGAGUCGGCUUUGGGGGAGCCUGAGAGUGGAGAUCCAAGGGAAGAAACCACGGGAAGGAAAUCACGGAUACAACAGUUGGGCGGGUUGAGAGAGAGGGAGGCAUGGACAGGGAGGGACACAGGUCGCAGAGUCUGGGGACCGAGCAGAAGGGACACGGGGAGGAAAAAGGGAGGUGGGAAGAGGAAGAGCAGGUUGAGAGGAGGGCAGAAGGAGAACCGUGUGUUCUCCAGAAAAGGAACCAGGAAGCACUGUCCUUGCUGGCCUUUGCCGACACCCCCUGGUCUCUCCCGGGUUCGGGUGUGUAAGUGUGUGGGCAGGGAGGCAGCGGGAGGUCUCACUUGGAAGCGCCUUCAAGACCCAGACAGGUUCAAUCCAGGGUUCUACUGUUCCCGGUGUCUAGCACCGUGCCUUUUUCAAGCGCAGUAGGUGCUUAACAAACACUUCAUGCCCAGAACCCCUGACAAGAGUGGACUCCUGAUUCUCUCGGUGGGAAGAAACACAGCUGCCAAGUCCCCGUUAGGGAAGCAAAGCCAAAUUACUCCUUCCUUUGCUUCUUCCUUCAAGUGAGUUCCUUGGAUGGGACUCGCUCUAAUUGAGUCAGGUAGCAAAAGGAGAGCGGAAGCACCUCUGGGGGCCAUUAUUCCCUGAAAACAAUUGUAUGCAUGAUUGGUGUGCUCCAGGAUCUGAGGGAGCCUGGCCCUGAGUUCACUGGGCCCACUGAGUGACAGUGGUGGCCGUCAGAGGCUCUCCUACCAGGACUCACGGCUUUUGUAGAACACCCGCCCUCCCCGUCAUUCCCUUCCUCACCCCAGGGUGGGGCCCAUGUCUUCACUGUGGUGCUGGUGUCUUUGAAGUGUGUCCCAGCCCAAUCCCAGAGGCUGACAGUCUCCUCUUCUGGAAACGAAAUAAUAGUAACAGCACUUAUGUGGCACUUACAUUGUCCCAGGCAUUGUUCCAAGUGUGUUUUACUUUCUAACUCAUUAAAAUCUCACCACCGCCCUGCCCUGCGAGGUGGAUUCUAUCAUUAUCUCCAAACAGAGAUGAAGAAUCCCAGGUACAGAGCGAUUAAAUAACUUGCCUCAGGCCAUGCAUCUAGAAAGAGGUCUUGCUGAGAUUGGAGCCUGGGCAGUCUGCCCCCCCCACACACACUUAACUCCCACAUCAAACAUUCCUCUUGGGAAUGGGGCCAGUGGUUAAGCCUGACCUUUCUUCCUCUUCUGUCUUCAUUUAAGCCCUGGGUGAGACAGUCCUUUCUACUGCUUGAUUCCAUACUGACCACCUGCCAUCCUUCCUUAACCUGGGUUUUUGUGUCCUGAAGCUACAUUCUGACAGAUGGGAGGUGUCAGUCUGAGAAAAGAAGCUGCCGUUUAGAAGGCGGGGGAGCGCUCAUCAGACCCUCCUGGCACAUCUCUGACACAUCUCUGACCUCCUGGCAUAUCUCUGACGUUCUUUCAGGACAGGGGGAUGGAAGCCCCUGAGAACUCAGCACGGCGCUCGGGUGGGGCCAGAGGAAGGCUCAGUUCACAGUAACUC